UCUUCAUUCUUCACACUAUCUCACCGGUUAGAGAAGUGAGAGAGUGUGCGAAAUGAAGAGA
rfam:Pristionchus pacificus strain PS312 contig2904, whole genome shotgun sequence.